GUCCGCGUAGCUUAAGCAAAGCACGACUCUGAAGAAGUCAAGAUGGGCUCUAACAGGCUCCUCGGACA
rnacentral:tRNA from 1 species